AUUGAACGCUGGCGGCAGGCCUAACACAUGCAAGUCGGGCGAGGGGCGGGCGGGUGAGAAAUGUAUGGGAAUCUGCCUUAUGGCGGGGGAUAAUUCCUGGAAACGGUAGCUAAUACCGCAUACCAUCAGCUGAACCAUUAUGGGAUUAGCUAGUAGGUGAGGUAACGGCUCACCUAGGAGACGAUCCCUAGCUGGUCUGAGAGGAUGAUCAGCCACACUGGGACUGAGACACGGCCCAGACUCCUACGGGAGGCAGCAGUGGGGAAUAUUGCACAAUGGGCGCAAGCCUGAUGCAGCCAUGCCGCGUGUAUGAAGAAGGCCUUCGGGUUGUAAAGUACUUUCAGUCGGGAGGCGUUACCGACAGAAGAAGCACCGGCUAACUCCGUGCCAGCAGCCGCGGUAAUUC
rnacentral:rRNA from 1 species